UACAGAGGUCCCAAGCGUUGUCCGGAAUCAUUGGGCGUAAGAGCGUGUAGGCGGCCCGGUAAGUCCGCUGUAAAAGUCAAAGGCUCAACCUUUGAAUGUCAGUGGAUACUGCCGGGCUAGAGUCCGGAAGAGGCGAGUGGAACUCCUGGUGUAGCGGUGGAAUGCGCAGAUAUCAGGAAGAACACCAACGGCGAAGGCAGCUCGCUGGGACGGUACUGACGCUGAGACGCGAAAGCGUGGGGAGCGAACAGG
rnacentral:rRNA from 1 species